rnacentral:lncRNA from 1 species
UUUUUGAGAAGUUUCCAAAAGUUUUUAGAAUUGAGGCUAGAUUGGUGGUCCAUGUAAACACCGCUAUAGAACAUCUUAGAAGAAUUAAAGGUAGUUAUUUAAGUGGAGUCCACCUCUAGAAUCUUUUAAAGAGGUGAUUAUUAAGAUAGGAUCCACCUCUAGAAUUUGUUAGAAGGGUGGUUAUUUUGGUAGAAUCCACCAUUGAAAAUAUUUUAGAAAGUUCUAGGAUAGUUAGACAAAGUAUAAAUAAAACUAGCUAAGGUUAUUUGGGGCAUUUGGUUAUGUAUGGCUU